UUUAUGGAGAGUUUGAUCCUGGCUCAGGAUGAACGCUGGCGGCGUGCCUAAUACAUGCAAGUCGAGCGAACGGACGAGAAGCUUGCUUCUCUGAUGUUAGCGGCGGACGGGUGAGUAACACGUGGAUAACCUACCUAUAAGACUGGGAUAACUUCGGGAAACCGUAGCUAAUACCGGAUAAUAUUUUGAACCGCAUGGUUCAAAAGUGAAAGACGGUCUUGCUGUCACUUAUAGAUGGAUCCGCGCUGCAUUAGCUAGUUGGUAAGGUAACGGCUUACCAAGGCAACGAUGCAUAGCCGACCUGAGAGGGUGAUCGGCCACACUGGAACUGAGACACGGUCCAGACUCCUACGGGAGGCAGCAGUAGGGAAUCUUCCGCAAUGGGCGAAAGCCUGACGGAGCAACGCCGCGUGAGUGAUGAAGGUCUUCGGAUCGUAAAACUCUGUUAUUAGGGAAGAACAUAUGUGUAAGUAACUGUGCACAUCUUGACGGUACCUAAUCAGAAAGCCACGGCUAACUACGUGCCAGCAGCCGCGGUAAUACGUAGGUGGCAAGCGUUAUCCGGAAUUAUUGGGCGUAAAGCGCGCGUAGGCGGUUUUUUAAGUCUGAUGUGAAAGCCCACGGCUCAACCGUGGAGGGUCAUUGGAAACUGGAAAACUUGAGUGCAGAAGAGGAAAGUGGAAUUCCAUGUGUAGCGGUGAAAUGCGCAGAGAUAUGGAGGAACACCAGUGGCGAAGGCGACUUUCUGGUCUGUAACUGACGCUGAUGUGCGAAAGCGUGGGGAUCAAACAGGAUUAGAUACCCUGGUAGUCCACGCCGUAAACGAUGAGUGCUAAGUGUUAGGGGGUUUCCGCCCCUUAGUGCUGCAGCUAACGCAUUAAGCACUCCGCCUGGGGAGUACGACCGCAAGGUUGAAACUCAAAGGAAUUGACGGGGACCCGCACAAGCGGUGGAGCAUGUGGUUUAAUUCAAAGCAACGCGAAGAACCUUACCAAAUCUUGACAUCCUUUGACAACUCUAGAGAUAGAGCCUUCCCCUUCGGGGGACAAAGUGACAGGUGGUGCAUGGUUGUCGUCAGCUCGUGUCGUGAGAUGUUGGGUUAAGUCCCGCAACGAGCGCAACCCUUAAGCUUAGUUGCCAUCAUUAAGUUGGGCACUCUAAGUUGACUGCCGGUGACAAACCGGAGGAAGGUGGGGAUGACGUCAAAUCAUCAUGCCCCUUAUGAUUUGGGCUACACACGUGCUACAAUGGACAAUACAAAGGGCAGCGAAACCGCGAGGUCAAGCAAAUCCCAUAAAGUUGUUCUCAGUUCGGAUUGUAGUCUGCAACUCGACUACAUGAAGCUGGAAUCGCUAGUAAUCGUAGAUCAGCAUGCUACGGUGAAUACGUUCCCGGGUCUUGUACACACCGCCCGUCACACCACGAGAGUUUGUAACACCCGAAGCCGGUGGAGUAACCUUUUAGGAGCUAGCCGUCGAAGGUGGGACAAAUGAUUGGGGUGAAGUCGUAACAAGGUAGCCGUAUCGGAAGGUGCGGCUGGAUCACCUCCUUUCU
rnacentral:rRNA from 1 species